UACACUCCUACGGGAGGCAGCAGUGGGGAAUAUUGGACAAUGGGCGCAAGCCUGAUCCAGCCAUGCCGCGUGAGUGAUGAAGGCCCUAGGGUUGUAAAGCUCUUUCACCGGUGAAGAUAAUGACGGUAACCGGAGAAGAAGCCCCGGCUAACUUCGUGCCAGCAGCCGCGGUAAUACGAAGGGGGCUAGCGUUGUUCGGAUUUACUGGGCGUAAAGCGCACGUAGGCGGACUAUUAAGUCAGGGGUGAAAUCCCGGGGCUCAACCCCGGAACUGCCUUUGAUACUGGUAGUCUUGAGUUCGAGAGAGGUGAGUGGAAUUCCGAGUGUAGAGGUGAAAUUCGUAGAUAUUCGGAGGAACACCAGUGGCGAAGGCGGCUCACUGGCUCGAUACUGACGCUGAGGUGCGAAAGCGUGGGGAGCAAACAGGAUUAGAAACCCCGGUAGUCCCAUG
rnacentral:rRNA from 1 species